UACGUAGGGGGCAAGCGUUGUCCGGAUUCAUUGGGCGUAAAGAGCGUGUAGGCGGCCAGGUAGGUCGGUUGUGAAAACUGGAGGCUCAACCUUCAGAGGUCGACCGAAACCAUCUGGCUAGAGUCCGGGAGAGGAGAGUGGAAUUCCUGGUGUAGCGGUGAAAUGCGUAGAGAUCGGGAGGAACACCUGUGGCGAAGGCGGCCCCCUGGGCCGGCCCUGACACUGAGACGCGAAGGCGUGGGGAGCGAACGGG
rnacentral:rRNA from 1 species